GAGUUUGAUCGUGGCUCAGGACGAACGCUGGCGGCGUGCUUAACACAUGCAAGUCGAACGAUGAAGCCCAGCUUGCUGGGUGGAUUAGUGGCGAACGGGUGAGUAACACGUGAGUAACCUGCCCUGGACUCUGGGACAAGCGCUGGAAACGGCGUCUAAUACCGGAUAGGACCUUUCCUCGCAUGAGGGGAGGUGGAAAGUUUUUUCGGUCUGGGAUGGACUCGCGGCCUAUCAGCUUGUUGGUGAGGUAAUGGCUCACCAAGGCGUCGACGGGUAGCCGGCCUGAGAGGGUGACCGGCCACACUGGGACUGAGACACGGCCCAGACUCCUACGGGAGGCAGCAGUGGGGAAUAUUGCACAAUGGGCGCAAGCCUGAUGCAGCAACGCCGCGUGAGGGAUGACGGCC
rnacentral:rRNA from 1 species